GACGAACCGUCCAAACGUUAUUCGGAUUCACUGGGCUUAAAGGGUGCGUAGGCGGCUCAGAAAGUAGGGUGUGAAAGCCCUCGGCUCAACCGAGGAACUGCGCCCUAAACUACUGGGCUUGAGGGAGACAGAGGUAAGCGGAACUUAGGGUGGAGCGGUGAAAUGCGUUGAUAUCCUAAGGAACACCAGGAGCGAAAGCGGCUUACUGGGUCUCUUCUGACGCUGAGGCACGAAAGCUAGGGGAGCGAACGGG
rnacentral:rRNA from 1 species